UACAGAGGUGGCAAGCGUUGUUCGGAAUUACUGGGCGUAAAGGGCGCGUAGGCGGUUCGUUAAGUCCUGUGUGAAAUCCCCCGGCUCAACUGGGGAACUGCACAGGAAACUAGCGGGCUUGAGUUCGGGAGAGGGAUGCGGAAUUCCAGGUGUAGCGGUGAAAUGCGUAGAUAUCUGGAGGAACACCGGUGGCGAAGGCGGCAUCCUGGACCGGUAUUGACGCUGAGGCGCGAAAGCCAGGGGAGCAAACGGG
rnacentral:rRNA from 1 species